ACAGGGGGAACCGAUCAUCAUGCCGCGUGUGNAAGAAGGCCUUCGGGUUGUAAAGCACUUUUGUCAGGAACGAAACGGUGGGGGCUAAUAUCUCCUGCUAAUGACGGUACCUGAAGAAUAAGCACCGGCUAACUACGUGCCAGCAGCCGCGGUAAUACGUAGGGUGCGAGCGUUAAUCGGAAUUACUGGGCGUAAAGCGUGCGCAGGCGGUUGUGCAAGACAGAUGUGAAAUCCCCGGGCUUAACCUGGGAAUUGCAUUUGUGACUGCACGGCUAGAGUGUGUCAGAGGGGGGUAGAAUUCCACGUGUAGCAGUGAAAUGCGUAGAUAUGUGGAGGAAUACCGAUGGCGAAGGCAGCCCCCUGGGAUAACACUGACGCUCAUGCACGAAAGCGUGGGGAGCAAACAGGAUUAGAUACCCUGGUAGUCCACGCCCUAAACGAUGUCUACUAGUUGUCGGGUCUUAACUGACUUGGUAACGCAGCUAACGCGUGAAGUAGACCGCCUGGGGAGUACGGUCGCAAGAUUAAAACUCAAAGGAAUUGACGGGGACCCGCACAAGCGGUGGAUGAUGUGGAUUAAUUCGAUGCAACGCGAAAAACUUACCUACCUUGACUGUACGGAACCCUGCUGGAGGUGGGGUGCUCGAAAGAGAGCG
rnacentral:rRNA from 1 species